AUUGAACGCUGGCGGAAUGCUUUACACAUGCAAGUCGAACGGCAGCACGGACUUCGGUCUGGUGGCGAGUGGCGAACGGGUGAGUAAUGUAUCGGAACGUGCCCAGUAGUGGGGGAUAACGUAGGGAAAAUUACGCUAAUACCGCCUACGAUCUGUGGAUGAAAGCGGGGGAUCGCCAGACCUCGCGCGAUUGGAGGGGCCGAUAUCAGAUUGGGUAGUUGGUGGGGUAAAGGCCCACCAAGCCAACGAUCUGUAGCUGGGCUGAGAGGACGACCAGCCACACUGGAACUGAGACACGGUCCAGACUCCUACGGGAGGCAGCAGUGGGGAAUUUUGGACAAUGGGCGAAAGCCUGAUCCAGCCAUUCCGCGUGCAGGAUGAAGGCCCUCGGGUUGUAAACUGCUUUUGUACAGAACGAAAAGGUUUCUACUAAUACUAGGAGCUCAUGACGGUACUGUAAGAAUAAGCACCGGCUAACUACGUGCCAGCCGCCGCGGUAA
rnacentral:rRNA from 1 species